CAAUACCAACCGGCGAACGGGUGCGUAACACGUGAGCAACCUACCGAUUUGAGGGGGAUAGCUGGCCUAACGGCCAGGUAAUACCGCAUACGCUCUUGAGGUCACCUGACCUCUUGAGGAAACCUCCGGGGCAGAUCGAGGGGCUCGCGGCCUAUCAGCUAGUUGGCGAGGUCACGGCUCACCAAGGCGACGACGGGUAGCUGGUCUGAGAGGAUGGCCAGCCACAUUGGGACUGAGAAACGGCCCAGACUCCUACGGGAGGCAGCAGUGGGGAAUCUUGCGCAAUGGGCGAAAGCCUGACGCAGCGACGCCGCGUGGGGGAUGACGGGUUUCGGCUUGUAAACCCCUGUUGCCCGGGACGAACUUCUCCUUUCGAGGAGAUUGACGGUACCGGGUGAGGAAGCACCGGCUAACUCUGUGCCAGCAGCCGCGGUAAUACAGAGGGUGCGAGCGUUGUCCGGAAUCACUGGGCGUAAAGGGCGCGUAGGUGGCGACCCAAGUCGAUGGUGAAAGCUCGUCGCUCAACGACGAGUCGGCCACCGAUACUGGGUUGCUCGAGCACUGUAGAGGCAGAUGGAAUUCCGGGUGUAGCGGUGGAAUGCGUAGAGAUCCGGAAGAACACCGGUGGCGAAGGCGGUCUGCUGGGCAGUAGCUGACACUGAGGCGCGACAGCGUGGGGAGCAAACAGGAUUAGAUACCCUGGUAGUCCACGCCGUAAACGAUGGGCACUAGAUGCUUGGGGGAGCGACCCCCUGAGUGUCGUCGCUAACGCAGUAAGUGCCCCGCCUGGGGAGUACGGCCGCAAGGCUGAAACUCAA
rnacentral:rRNA from 1 species